GGUCGGCGCCUAUGCUCGCUCACGCUGCAGUCUCAGCUGCCCAGAGAAGAGUAUGGUUUGAGCCCAGGAGUGCAGGACAGGAACAGCCGUGGCUGCCUCUGAAAAGAAAAGCCGACCACACACAGUGACACGCUGGACCAGGGACAGCUGAAAGAGGCCGGGGAAACAGUAGGGAUUGUCAGCUAAGCCACUUGAAGAAUGAUGAGAAGAUCUACAAACAUUUAGCUGGAGGGCCAGAGUCCAUGAUGGUGGAGGGAAGAGACAGCUGAAAGCUCACAUCUUGAACAAGAAGGCAGAGGGAGCACAUUAGGAAUGGUGGAGGCUCUUGAAGCCCAAAGACCAACCCCCAGUGACACACCUCCUCCAACAAGGCCACACCUCCAAAUCCUUCCCAAAGAGUUUCUCCAGCUGGGGACCAAGUGUUGAAAUAUCUGAGCCAGUGGGGGCUGUUCUCAUUCAAACUAUACAAAAAUGCUAUGACUUGGAUCUAAAAUGCCACCCGAAGGGCCCUGUGUCACAGGCUUGACUGCUGAUGGGGUUUUAGAAAGUGAUUGGAUCAUAAGAGCUCUGACUUCAUCAACAGGUUAAUCCAUUGAUUAAUCUAAUUAAAGCCACUUCAAAUUAA